AGUUUGCUGGAAGUUAAUACAAAGGAGUAGAAGUAAUAAUGAAAGAUGCCUACAGCAACAUUUAUAAUGAAUAAAUGAGUACUUAAUAUAUUUAGGAACCUACAAACAAACAUUGAUUCUCCCAUGUCACGUUACCUGUUGUAAUAUUUUGACGUCACGUCUUGGAAGGUUGCACCUGACAGGUUUGGCUCACGUUAAUCGAAAUUAUUAGAAACAAACAUCCCUCCAGGUUUUAACCAUUUAUUUCCAAAAGUCUAAGACACGUUUCAUUCAUUGCAAUGGUUUUGAAAUCGCAAAUUUAACGAUACAUCUGACCGAUGAAGCGUCGAGCGGAAACAUUCAAAAUGGCGGCCGGCGUCCUCCGGCGUAAAAACGUUUUCUUGUAUUUCUGUUAGGCAAUCCAUACGCUUUACUUUGGUCAUUUAGAUUAAUUUGUAAUGCAUGAUUACGUAAUCCUAAACAAAAACACAUUCUUCGUGACGUUAUAGUGUUACCACUUAAUUAAUUAGGGAAUAUGCUCCCUCUCGUUAUUCCGCUAAAUGCUGAUUCUGAAGGCAUAUCGAUAAUGUUUGCAAAACUAUCAAUCAGUUAUUAUUACAAAAAAAGAGUUUUGUGAAGAGUUUUCUGUGCAUGUAUCAGAUAUGAACUCACGUAAACGCAGCUCUCCGUACGCAUGCGCACAUUGACGCUUGGCUUUUAUCUCAAUGUCAGUAAAAUAGACCGUAGAUUUCUUUAGUACAAACUAACGAUAUUUUUACACAUGAACACAUUGUGAGAAACAGAGACUAUGAUGUUUUCAUAGCAGUGACAAAUGUCAGGUGGUUAAUAGUUUUCACGUAUUCCUUGUUCUGUAAUGCUUUAAGUCUGUUGUUUGUUUGCCUUUACCAUUCUUUUUGGCUUUAACUGGACAUUUUGGCUUGAUGUGACAGAUUUAGUCUAAUUGAGCUUCUCUUCAAACAGUAUGAUUGUUGUAGGUUACACUUCUCUAUUGGCUUUUAUUCUUUUGUGGUUGUGAUUUAAUCAGUAAACAAAUGAAAUCUGCAGAACAGACAGCAGUCGUUUCAAACCUUACAUUUUGGUGAAGGUUUGCUACUGAAACUAACCAGCCAAACUUUGAUCCCAAAAACUGGAUGGUCCAAAAACUCAGAUGACAGUGAUGUGAUGAUCAGAAAAUGUGAAUAUGUGUGAUCUGCGUGUGAAGUUCAGGUCGCUCAUUGAUGUCUUAGUGAAGAUUGUGAAUGAGAUUCAUGUGAUCGGUCUGUGUUAUCCAAACUCACAGAUGCUGUUUCCAUAUGUCAAUAGAUUACUUCUCUCCAGGUUAAGCACACGCACACAUACACACACACACUAAGUGAGUCAGUGUUCAUUCCUUUUCUGAGUUUAGACACUUUCUUCUUAUUGAGUUAUGAAGAUCUCAGGGGUUAGGGUGAUUUUUUUAGUGAAAUGCUUCAACACAUGUAAUGUGUAAAUAAGAUAAAUUGGACUUUAUAGAUUCAAAGAAAAUACAAGUUUAAAUGUUGUAAAUAUUUGUCAUUGACCGGACAGCUCAUUUCUGCAGAGGCUUCUCUUCAAGCACAGACGAUGAUGGUAAACACGAUCAGGUUUCGUCCACGCCCACCAGAACACUUAUAUAUCCUUUAAUAUAACAACUCUAUAUGUCUACAGUAUAUAUGGUGUAUUGGGUCUCACCACUUUUCAUUUUCAGCUCUUUAGGGUGAACGCAUCUAACAGAAGUUCCAUAAGAGGCUUUUCCCAGAAUGCAUCUGUCUGCUAGAGGUUACCGAUCUCUGGUGGAGUGUAAAUCAGGCUCAUUGAGAGAAUCUCUCAGGAUUUGCCGACGCUGCUCAUUUGGACAAAGUGAAAAGAUGAAUUACUUUCCAGAGCUGCGGAUGGUCCCGUGCAUGUUUCCCUUCUAUUGGCUGCGGGUUCGACCCUGCUACCGAAUCAUCACAGUUGUGCAUAAAAGGGUGCUUUCACCCCCCUGUCCCAACCCGUCACCGCACACCCGCUGAAGACCAUCACUGCAGAGAGACAU